rnacentral:rRNA from 1 species
CUAGGCUUGACAUGCACGGAAAUCCUCCAGAAAUGGGGGGUCCGUAAGGGCCGUGCACAGGUGGUGCAUGGUUGUCGUCAGCUCGUGUCGUGAGAUGUUGGGUUAAGUCCCGCAACGAGCGCAACCCUCGUUCCAUGUUGCCAGCACGUGAUGGUGGGGACUCAUGGGAGACUGCCGGGGUCAACUCGGAGGAAGAGUGGGGAUGACGUCA